UAGCCAUUUCCUUAAUAACAGAUGCCUGUAGUGAAUAUAGCCAUUUCCUUAAUAACAGAUGCCUAUAGUGGAUAUAGCCAUUUCCUUAAUAACAGAUGCCUAUAGUGAAUAUAGCCAUUUCCUUAAUAACAGAUGCCUGUAGUGAAUAUAGCCAUUUCC